rnacentral:rRNA from 1 species
UACGUAGGUGGCAAGCGUUGUCCGGAAUUAUUGGGCGUAAAGCGCGCGCAGGCGGUCGGGUAAGUCUGAUGUUAAAGCCCGGGGCUCAACCCCGGUUCGCAUUGGAAACUGCCUGACUUGAGUGCAGAAGAGGAAAGCGGUAUUCCACGUGUAGCGGUGAAAUGCGUAGAGAUGUGGAGGAACACCAGUGGCGAAGGCGGCUUUCUGGUCUGUAACUGACGCUGAGGCGCGAAAGCGUGGGGAGCAAACAGG